rnacentral:rRNA from 1 species
AACGAACGCUGGCGGCAUGCCUAACACAUGCAAGUCGAACGACACCUUCGGGUCUAGUGGCGCAUGGCGGCGUACCGCGUGGGAACCUGCACAUAGGAUCGGAAUAACUCCCCGAAAGGGGUGCUAAUACCGGAUAAUGACUUCCGCCCACAGACUUAUGGCCUUAGGAUGGGCCCGCGGUGGAUUAGCCUGUUGGUAGGGUAAAAGCCUACCAAGGCGACAAUCCAUAGCUGGUCUGAGAGGAUGAUCAGCCACACUGGGGCUGAGACACGGCCCGGACUCCUGCGCGAGGCAGGAGUGGGUGAUACUGGAAUGUGGGGGAAAGCAUGAUCCAGCAAUGCCGCGUGAGUGAUGAAGGCCUUAGAGAUGUAAAGCUCUUUUACCCGGGAUGAUAAUGACAGUACCGGGAGAAUAAGCUCCGGCUAACUCCGUG